UGCAUUCACUACUGUAAGUCGCUUUGGAUAAGAGCGUCUGCUAAAUUACUAAAA
rfam:Salmo salar isolate Sally breed double haploid chromosome ssa01, whole genome shotgun sequence.